AACUCCUCAACCACAUUCAUUUAUUGAUUGUGGCUUGGAUGAUGGGGGUUUGUUUGCAGGCUUCUUCUGUGAAAACAGAAAGGGUCGGCUCCCCUGAAAUGUAUCAGUGGUAUCUGAGGCUAUUGCUAUAGGUGUGAUAAUUAUCUAUGCCCUUGGUAUGCCGCAUGGAACUGCUUCCAACAGAGAUAAUCUUUUUGAUGA
rnacentral:misc_RNA from 1 species